ACUUAGCAGCCCUAGACCUUGUUUCAAUGAUCUUCUUGUCUCUCAAUUGGUGCAGUUGCCUAGAUGUCAUUGCUUCUUUACCCUUCCACUUUACACCUCUUGUUGGUCGAUGGCCUAGAUCUCCAGUAACUUCUGCCGAGGACAUCACAUCUCUAAAGUUUGUAGAUGACAUUCCAGGCUGUCAUAAACCAACAGAAAAUUAGACAAUUGAAAUAACCUAAAUAUGAUAGAUUGUGUUGGACUUACAUUUUGAAUUCGAGGACCUCACAUCUCUAAAGUUUGUAGAUGACAUUCCAGACUGAAAUAACCUAAAUAUGAUAGCUUGUGUUGGACUUACAUUUGAAAUUUUGAAUCCACUUUGAGAGUGUAAAACACCCAUGCCAAUCAUCAUUGGUUUCUUAAAAUGUGUUCUUACAUCACUUCUGUCACGACCCAAACCUCGGCCGUGAUGGCGCCAUACACCUUGUUAGGCAAGCUCGACCAUUUAUACAUUCCCAAUAAAAUCAUUAUCUUAAUUGCCAAUUUUUAGGAUAAAAUUCUCACUUUGAUAAUAGUUAAAAUACUGCGGAAAAACGUAAUCAAAAGUAAUAACAGCCCAAAGGAUCCGGCGUCACAAGUCAGAGCCUCUAGAUACAACCGAACAGUAUCCCAUACAAAUGAAAAUCUUGGUGGGAAGUAAAGAUAGAUAAAAGGAGAGUUCAGGUCCUGCGGACGCCAACAGCUACCUUGAUAACUCCGAUACUGAGCUGAGCAACAACAGAUAGUCGCAGCUAAGCCUCCGGGAUCCCUGUAAAUGCACACAAGGUGCA
rnacentral:lncRNA from 1 species